rnacentral:rRNA from 1 species
AGUGAACGCUGGCGGUAGGCCUAACACAUGCAAGUCGAACGGCAGCACAGUAAGAGCUUGCUCUUACGGGUGGCGAGUGGCGGACGGGUGAGGAAUACAUCGGAAUCUACUUUUUCGUGGGGGAUAACGUAGGGAAACUUACGCUAAUACCGCAUACGACCUACGGGUGAAAGCAGGGGAUCUUCGGACCUUGCGCGAUUGAAUGAGCCGAUGUCGGAUUAGCUAGUUGGCGGGGUUAAGGCCCACCAAGGCGACGAUCCGUAGCUGGUCUGAGAGGAUGAUCAGCCACACUGGAACUGAGACACGGUCCAGACUCCUACGGGAGGCAGCAGUGGGGAAUAUUGGACAAUGGGCGCAAGCCUGAUCCAGCCAUACCGCGUGGGUGAAGAAGGCCUUCGGGUUGUAAAGCCCUUUUGUUGGGAAAGAAAAGCAGCAGGUUAAUACCCCGCUGUUCUGACGGUACCCAAAGAAUAAGCACCGGCUAACUUCGUG